CUGCCUGGACAAAAUAUUCAUUAUUUCCAGUUCUCUAACAUCACUGAGCAGUAGGCAGUAGUUUAAUUUGCCAGCAAUAAUUUAUUGUGUAGACUCAAAAUUCUGCAAGCAACCUCUUCUCAUGUGUUGAUUUCAGCAUCUCCUACAGCUAUUUGAUUUCCUUCCUGGCUUUUUGUGUUAACUGGUCACCUCCUGCCAGAUUCCAGCUACCGCAGCAAGGCUCUGCAGAUUGCUCAGUGUUCAUACAGAGGAGUGCCAUCCACAUCCAUCUGCCCCGUGCUGGUGUAGGUGUUUAUAGAUUUAUUGGGAUGAGACUUGUUCUGGCAAACAUAGCACCCUGUGCUCACCCUUCGGAAGUGAACGUCUCACACGGUGUACAUGCCAAAGCAAAGAUGGAUAAAACUCGUUACCAGUAUUCUGAAAGCCAGUAGAAACACCCUAUGGAAAGCAGGCCACCUGGAAACGCCAGAAUCCUCAACCCAGAAUGCUCAACAUAGAGGAGUAUGCCUUGUUAAACUUAACAGCAGUGGAGACAAACAGAGAUGGGAGAAUAAAUCCUUCUGAAACACAAAGGCCUUUGCUGAAGGAGCCCAUCUUGGGUACCAGAACCCUUCCUCCCUGUGACUUUCCUUCCAUGAGGAAGAAAGGGUAGUUGAUUUACCUGCGAGGAAUCUUUUUUCAAGAAACAAAAAUUCAGCACCCAGGAGCUGAACAACCCAAGGUUCUCCUGUGCUGGAGAUGCUUCUAACAGACUGUACCUUGCUGAAAAUAACUUACAGUCCCAAGAAGAAUAUUCUGCCUGCCACCUGCCCAGCACAUGGCUGUUUAUUCCUCAACAGCAUCUUUGCUAUUACUGAGUUUUUCUGGCUAAGAUUUGAUGCACCCUUCACUGAACCGCUGAACUGUUUCUACCUGUGGUUCCAGCCACUAAUAGCCUUACUGGGUCCAGGACCUAUGGUUUACCCUUGUCUGUAUCUGACCCUGCAGCUCAACAUUAUAGAAAUGCACAGCUGUAGUUUGUGUAACGAAUCAGAGCAUAAUGUAAAGCACAGUGCUUUAUUCCUUUUGAGCAAUGCACAUCUAAACUGCCAUUAAUGAAUGAGAAUCCUGAUCCAUCCACAGUGGGACAUCAUGGCGUAUUUACAGUCCAGAAUCCAUUACAGCUAAUAUUGCACUAUUUACACUCAUCUGCCAUAAAUCUAAUAUUGUUGUGAGGGCUAUUCCAUUUAACGUACUCUAGGAAUGCUUUGCAAGCCAGUAUCAAUUAUGUUUGGAAAUAAACUGAUGCUUUGGGUUAAACAAAAUGAAAACAUUCUUCCUCUGAGAAAUGCAGUACUUUGUAUCUGCAGCUAUUUCAAGUGAAUCUUAUGUUUUAUUCAAUUAAGUACCACUGAAGAUGACUAUGAUUCAGAAAAUAUUAAAUGAAAAUAUUGAUUCUGCACUAAUAAAGUUGAAUGAGCAAGGGACUGCUACCAAUAACAUGACCACAGCACAUCAAACUCGCCUACAACUUCAGAGUAGUUCCUUAAUUUUGCAGUAAUUAUUUAAAGAUAUUUUCAACUCAAGAGAAGAUUUUUUUCCUCAUAUCCAACCUGAACCUCCCCUGGUGCAACUUAAGGCUGUUACCUCUCAUUCCAUCGCUGUUACCUGGGAGCAGAAGCCAACCCCCACCUCACUACAACCUCCUUUCAGGUAGUUGUAGAGAGCAAUGAGGUCUCCCCUGGGCUUCCUCUUCUCCAGACUGAACAACCCCAGCUCCCUCAGCUGCUGCUCAUCAAACUUGUGCUCCAGACUCCUCAUAGCUCCGCUUCCCUUCUCUGGACACACAUUUUUCAUUCAGUCCACAGCAUGGCUCUUAAAAUGCCACUUUUCCCUUAGAGAUCUGGAGUCUUUCCAGCAGCAUUCUUUAUAAUUACGUUGAUUAUUAGCAUCAAUUUCCAUUUCACUCUUCACCUCAGAGGAACAACAAAUGUCUGCUAGCAUUUACAAGGUGUUCCAAGUACAAUUACUUUACCCACUGUGGAAACACAUAGACAGUGUUUGGCUGAGGCAGGGCAGCUCCUCCCAAACUACAUCGUCCCCUAAUGACAAGUGAGCCAUCAGCUAAAGAAUAGUACCAGCCAGCUUUUUCCAGGAUUAUCUUGAACUAUUGACCCUUCACUCAGGUCCAAAAUACACUUCCAAACCUAAGAGUGAAAGCAUUCAUAAUAAAAAGGAUAGCUCUUACGUGCAUGUUUGGAGAGGUUGUUAGAAGAUCUAACUCCUCCAAAUGGGAGAAGGGAGGGAGAGAACAAAGCUAUGGCUCCAUCCUCAUACAGUAACAGCGCAGCCAGUGUUGAGGGCAGCAAGAUUCCAAACUACAAGAUACAGUUUAGUGGCUUGUGGUAGCAAGGGUAAUGGGAGGACGGUUGGACUAGGUGAUCUUAUAGAUCCUUUCCAACCUUGUGAUUCUAUGAUAAACUUUUAAGAAAAACUCCAACAACAUCCAAGGUAGCCCACAGGCAAUGGAGCCUCCAUACACCUGGGAGAUCUUUCACCCCAUAUCGGAGACCCAGCCAGACACCUGUCUCACAGCCCAUCUUCCCUUGCAUUUGCCUUAGUAACAAUCUUGAGAAAAUAAUGAUGCAUGGAGCCUUCCCAAACCUCCUCCCACAGCGAGCCACGUGAGAAAACUGAAUUUCAUUAAAAAGAAUAAACCAUCAGUUUCUGCCCUUCUCGAAGCAAAGGAAAAACCUGACUACAGUGACCAAAACCUCAAAACCCAGAAGAGAAAUAAAGAGGCCAAAAAAUAUAUUCCUUUAAAGAAAAAAAUGUCUGUACUCCUUUUCUUUUUUUGCAUGGAUUAUUACUUCUUGAACACUGAGGUCUGACAGUACAGCAACUCAUCCACCCAGACAUUUAGCCAACUUGGCAAUACUUAGCUCUAACGACUUCAAAGCCCGAGGAAGCACAGAAACAUUUCAUGCAUCAGAUCUAUUUAAGAACAUAUACAAAGCACUGCUCACAAGCUGUAACAGAAACAAUAUUGUCCAAGCAAUAAAACCACGGAAUGGAAAAAAUCACAGAUAUAUUACCCAUUUUCAAAUUUCACCUU